UUUUAUUUGAGAGUUUGAUCCUGGCUCAGGAUGAACGCUGGCGGCGUGCCUAACACAUGCAAGUUGAGCGAUUUACUUCGGUAAAGAGCGGCGGACGGGUGAGUAACGCGUGGGUAACCUACCCUGUACACACGGAUAACAUACCGAAAGGUAUGCUAAUACGGGAUAAUAUAUUUGAGAAGCAUCUCUUAAAUAUCAAAGGUGAGCCAGUACAGGAUGGACCCGCGUCUGAUUAGCUAGUUGGUAAGGUAACGGCUUACCAAGGCGACGAUCAGUAGCCGACCUGAGAGGGUGAUCGGCCACAUUGGAACUGAGACACGGUCCAAACUCCUACGGGAGGCAGCAGUGGGGAAUAUUGCACAAUGGGCGAAAGCCUGAUGCAGCAACGCCGCG
rnacentral:rRNA from 1 species